GAAACGCGAUAAUUAGUGCGAAUUGCAGAAUUCAGUGAAUCAUCAAAUCUUUGAACGCAAGUUGCGCUUCCGGGAAACCUGGGAGCAUGCCUCUUUCAGUGUCGGACUUCAAUACCAACACAUCUGUGUUUGUGUCUUGCACUUCCCCGCCCCAGCGGCGCGCGGAUCUGUUGAAUUCCACGCUCUGCCGACUGCGCACCCGUUUGCAAUGACGCCCACACUUGUACUUGGAUAGUUUACUCUGUCUGUGGUGCUAGGGGCGCUCAACUAACGCGAAUCGCGGACCGCCAGUCACUCAAGGCAGCGUCAUUGAGUCACCAAAGCCUGGGUCCGUCAUUGACGGCCCUCGCGGGGUGACACCACCUCAAACAAUGACCUGAAAGAGGUAAGACUACCCGCU
rnacentral:misc_RNA from 1 species